rnacentral:lncRNA from 1 species
CUUUUUGACCGGCUCUUUGAUUCGACCCAACCGUGAGGUAUUGAGCCAAACACUUCUCAUUCUUUCUAUGUGUGAUAUCCACUCGUGUAUUGUCUCUCGAUUUUGCUUGUCGUCUCUUUAUUUGAUUGGUAAUUUUGUCGCACACACGAGGCAUGUUGUUUUGGUACCUUUGAGCCUUUCUAUACACCCUUACAUAUAUAUCAUUUGCUUAACCAAUUUGAGCUGAAAGAAAAUAUGUUAUUUUUGCAAAACCUUAAGAAAGUUUUGAAAAAAAAAAGGAAUGACUUUCUUGGAGGUUAGGCACCUAAUUAGUGGUUGAUGCGCAAUGCUCACCACUAAGUUUGGGGUUGCUCUUUGGAAUUAG